rnacentral:lncRNA from 10 species
CCGAGACCCGCCUCCGAACCAGGCCCCACCUCCUGAGCCAGGCCCCCGCCCCCGAUUCUGACUCCGCCCUCUCUGUCCUUCGGUGGAGACUCCGGGAAAAACCUGCCUCCCAGUCUGCCCUCUCUCCGUCUGUCUGUGCUUGUUUUUCUACGUUUAUCCCUGUCGCUUUCCCCACUUAUUCUGCAGGCAUGGCGCGCCCCCAGUGCCGGCUUGGUGCCAGGGCUGGGAGAUCCGGGGGUGAAUCGUGAGCCCGGCCCACAGCGAGCUUGCAGUCUAGAGAUCAAGGCAGUCUUGUCCACAACCUGCUGUCACAUAAAGCAAAUGUAGCUGGUGUAGCACCAGGGGCUGCAAUCAAGUGCGGUGGGGCGGCAAUAGUGACCACGGAAAUAAUCAGAAUUGCUUUUAAUUCAGCUCCUACUAUAUUCCCGCAUCCCUGAGCCUCACAAUCAUCCUCCAAGGUAGGUAUUUUUGUCUUUCUCUAACAGAUGAAAACUCUGAGUUUCAGAAGAAUUAAAUGACAUCCCCCCAAAAGAGAGACAGUAUAAGAAUCCAAGUCAACCUGAGUCCAAAACCAGUGGCCCUUAACACUGUGUGGCUUUAUGGAGGACAUGGAGUUUAAGUUUACCUUCAAGGAUGAGCAACACUUUUCUUCAAGCAGAAAAAGAAGGGAAUGGGUGAACACGGUCCCAGGAUGUUCGCUUUGGCAGAUGAUUAGAAUACGUGCUGACUUGAUAGCCACAACUGUCCUGAUAAGAAAGUACGCCGGCCUGGCUGGGCAUGGUGGCUCACGCCUGUAAUCCGAGGAUUUUGGGAGGCCCAGGCGGGCGGAUCACUUGAUGUCAGGAGUUCGAGACCAGCCUGUCCAACAUGGUGAAACCCCGUCUGUACUAAAAAUACAAUAAUUAGCCGAGCAUGAUGGCAUGUGCCUGUAAUCCCAGCUACUCGGGAGGCUGAGGCACGAGAAUCGCUUGAACCUGGAAGGCAGAGGUUGCAGUUACUUUCCCGACAUUGCACCACUGCACUCCAGCCUUGGCGACAAGAGCGAAAUUUUGUCUCAAAAAAGAAAGAAAGAAAGCACUCAGGCCUGACCCAGGACCACAGCAGUGGACAUGGAGGGAGGAGGCUGGGGGUAGUUGGAUUGGUAUGAUAUGUCACUGAGUAAACGAAGGAAGGGACAGAAAGAGAACUCCAAAGUGUCAAAAGCCUGGACAACAGAGAGAAAGCAUCCUUGUCCUAUCAUUUAAAGCACCUGUUGGGCCAAAUAGGGAGCACCUUUCAGAAUCCAUGUGCACAAGAUCUCAGCAAUUCUACGUCCAAGAAUGUAACCUACAUCCAAGAAUGUACUGGAAUUUAAUUCCACAUCCAAGAAUCCCCAUAGGUAGCAAAGAUGUAUAUUUAAGGGUAUUCUCUCAGCUUUGUUUUUAUGUUAGGAGAUUGGGAACAACCUAAAUGCCCAUCAGCUGGUGACUGGCUAGGUUAACUAUUCACAAAUGGAAUACUAGGUAGCCUCCUAAAAGAGGAAAGCAAUUCUACAUAUCCUGAUACAGUGUGGUCACCAGAUAGAUGGCUAAGAUACAAAUAAAACAAACAAGUUGCAGUGUUAGAGUAUGCUAUGUAUCACUCCUUUUUAAGGACAAAAAGAGGAUAUACUUUAACUUUUUAAGAUACCAAAGUAUUUAUUUAUUUAAAAUUUUUUUCACAGAAUUGUUAUAGCAUGUAGAACCAAAAAUUAUUUACAAAUGAAAUUAUUCAAUGUCUGAGAUUUGUGUCAAAAUAAUGGUAUGGGGGUUUAGUGAGUAAGCAUGUAGGUAGAACAAGAUUGUCCAUGAGCUGAUAGUUGUUGAAGCUGGGUGAUCACCUGGGUGUUUUAUACUAUUUGGGUGUUAAACUAUUUUUUUUUCUAUUCUUGUGUAUGUGUCAAAUUUCCACUUAAGAAAAUGGGGGAAAAUGGUGUCAGCCCUCCAUUCCAGCUGAACACACCAUGUUAGUUCAUGCCCCAUCACACCACUCUUCUAGCCAUCUGUCAAUCUUCUCUGCCUGGCAAAUUUCUACUCUUUCAUCAGGACCCAGGAUAAUUAUCACCUUCUCUGAGAGGGCUUUUCCAACCCCUAUAGUCAGAAUCAUUCCUUCUCUAUGCUUGGGGCCCCCUGAGAAAUGUCUCUAAUCCUGUCACAAAUACAUAUUCCAGUGUCAUUAUCCAUCUCCCUAGUAGACAGUGAACAUUUCCAUCAAUGAGACAAUGUCUCAACUAUCUUCUUUCUGUCUCAACCCUUAACCCUGGCACUUAAUACUUGUUUGUUAAAUUCAUGGGUCAGGUCUAGUGAAGACAAUGAUUAGUUGUUUGGUUUGAUACAUACUGACCUUGAGAAGUCAAAGGGAUAUAGGAGGAGAGAAAGUGAAUGAGGAACUGAUGUUACUGAGCCUGUGCUAGGAGACUGCUGGGGCAAGGAAUAGAGUGAGGAGAAAGGAGGCAAGGCUCCUGCUGGCAAGGACCUCACUUUCAUUUCAGCUGGGGAAGAGCAUGGAAAGAUGUCAUUCUAGAGCAUGGUAAGUGCCAUGGAUGAAAUAGACAAGGCAAAACUUAUUCCACUUCAGCAAAGCGAGUGUCAAUAUUCUACUUAUGGAUGAGUGGAUGAACACAAGUGAUUUCAUCUGAACAUGUGUUCCUCCACUCAUCCAUAAGUAGAAUAUUGACACUUGCUUUGCUGAAGUGGAAUAAGUUUUGCCUUGUCAAUUUGUUUAUUUAUUUAUUUAUUUAUUUAUUUAUUUAUUUAUUCUAUUAUAUAUUUAUUUAUUCCAUAUAACAACCCUCAUUAAGUAGGAACUCUUUUUUGAGGGACAGGGUAUUACUGUGUUGCCCAGGCUAGUCUUGAACUUCUGGCCUGUGGUGUUCCUCCUGCCUUGGCCCCACAGAGUGCUGAGAUUACAGGCUUCAGCCACCAUGCCCGGUCUAAAGUAGGAACUCUUAACAGUCCCACAUUUAUAGCCUGGGAAAAUGAAGCUUAGGAAGAAUGAAGUCAACAGAGCAACAGAGGUCACACACCUCGCAAACAGCAGAGCCCAAAUGUCUUACCAUGCACUACCCUUUUGAGAAAGAAGACUGAAAUCAGGAGCCUGGUAAGGAAAUGGUGGAAACAGUGAAAGAGAACAAGAUGCACUGUUUCAUUUGUGAGAUGAGAAACAGAAAAAAAGAAAUGUCCUGAGAGCCCAAGAAAGACUGUUAGGAAAGGAACUGGGGCAAGUGUCAGAGUCCAUGGAGAAACCCAGCAGGGAAACCUGAGGGUCAUGGCAAUUGGCCAACACGAGGCGAUAAGGGACCUUUGAUGGAGCUAUUUUUGGUGGUGCUAACCUUCUUUGCUACAGGCUCACAACUGGAGCAUCUGCUUGCUUCCUCUGACCUGCCCCCUGGACUCAUGUUGUCAUUCUUCUCGCUCAACCUGUCUGCCUAGGGAAGAAGCCCUGGACUGUGUUUCCCCAAUCUCAGUAUUCCCAACCCUCCUGGCCCCCAACCCAGUACCUGCAGAGCUGACUCUAACCACCCAGUGCACCUCCCGCAGGCUGCAGCAGCCCCCAUCGAGGCCACUCAUUUACAGCACAGGCCCACACAGUCUGACAAAGGACAGCUGCAAUCCUCUGUCAACUGCAGUCCUUUCCCAGGCACAUGCUGGAUUGGGAAACAGGUGGGAGAAAAGAACAGACAUUUAUCAAGCACCUACUCUGUGCCUAGCAUUGUGCUAGGUGCUAGAGAGCCAAAAAUAAAUAGCAGCUGCUCUUGUGGAGGUCACAGUCUUGGAGGAGUUAAAGACACGGAAACAAAUUACAACACAGCGUAACAGCAGUGACAGAAGCACGUAUGAUAUGGUUUGACUGUGGCCCCACCAAAUCUCAUCCUGAAUUGUAGUUCCCAUAAUCCCCACUUGUGGUGGGAGGGGCCCAGUCGGAGGUAAUUGAAUCAUAAGGGUAGUUUCCCCCAUGUUAUUCUCGUGAUAGUGAGUUCUCAUGAGAUCUGAUGGUUUUAUAAGGGGCUUCCCCCUUCACUCAGCUCUCAUUCUUCUCUCUCCUGCCACCAUGUAAAGAAGGAUGUGUUUGGUUUCCCUUCCAUCACGAUUGUAAGUUUCCUGAGGCCUCCUCAGCCAUGUGGAACUGUGAGUCAAUUAAAUCUCUUUCCUUUAUAAAUUACCCAGUCUUGGGUAUUUCUUCAUAGCAGCCUGAGAAGGGACUAAUACAACAUACGAAGUUGGCAGCAAAGUGAGUGGUGGAAAGGAGAGUCAUGGAAAAGCAAACAAGGGAGGGUUAUAACUACAGCUUGGCAUCCUCCACUAAUGUUGUAAGGUCCUGGAGCAUUUUGGCAAUGGUGCUAAAAUGAGGAUGUAAGGACAAAAUCCCCUAGAUUUUCGACAGGUGAGCUUGUGAGGUGUUG